UGGAGAGUCCAUGUUAGUUAACAAAACGUCGCAUUCAUUAUACCAAAAAUAUGUCUUUCACUUUUGCAGCACCUUUAACUUUACUACUUGGUCUCGUUGGAAUGCUGUUAAUUCAGUUAUCAAUGGGUUUGGACUGUGACUCCAAAGAAGACAAGACGUGCAGGACUUAAUAUUCUAAUCGCUCACAACAACUGUCAGAAAUAUGCAAUGUUAAUUCAAAAUAAAUUAAAUUGUGUCAUUUCUACUUGAAUAAAUGUUUAAAGCAGCAAA